UACGACUACAUCACAUUGAAACACCGGUUCCCGUACGAUCACCGAAGUUAAACAACGUCGAACCUGGUCAGUAAUGAGUUGAGUGACCCCUUGGGAAGGUGCUGU